CAGCAGGCCGCGGUAAUACAKAGGUCUCAAGCGUUGUUCGGAUUCAUUGGGCGUAAAGGGUGCGUAGGYGGCGAGGUAAGUCGGAUGUGAAAUCUCCAAGCUCAACUUGGAAACUGCAUUCGAUACUGCUUUGCUAGAGGAUUGUAGAGGGCAUUGGAAUUCACGGUGUAGCAGUGAAAUGCGUAGAUAUCGUGAGGAAGACCAGUGGCGAAGGCGAAUGCCUGGGCAAUUCCUGACACUGAGGCACGAARGCCAGGGGAGCAAACGGGAUUAGAUACCCCGGUAGUCCUGGCAGUAAACGGUGCACGUUUGGUGUGGGAGGAUUCGACCCCUUCCGUGCCGGAGCUAACGCGUUAAACGUGCCGCCUGGGGAGUACGGUCGCAAGAUUAAAACUCAAAGGAAUUGACGG
rnacentral:rRNA from 1 species